UACGGAGGGGGCUAGCGUUGUUCGGAAUUACUGGGCGUAAAGCGCACGUAGUCGGCUUUGUAAGUUAGAGGUGAAAGCCCGGGGCUCAACUCCGGAAUUGCCUUUAAGACUGCAUCGCUAGAAUUGUGGAGAGGUAAGUGGAAUUCCGAGUGUAGAGGUGAAAUUCGUAGAUAUUCGGAAGAACACCAGUGGCGAAGGCGACUUACUGGACACAUAUUGACGCUGAGGUGCGAAGGCGUGGGGAGCAAACAGG
rnacentral:rRNA from 1 species